rnacentral:rRNA from 1 species
AUUGAACGCUGGCGGCAUGCCUUACACAUGCAAGUCGAACGGCAGCACGGGGGCAACCCUGGUGGCGAGUGGCGAACGGGUGAGUAACACAUCGGAACGUGUCCUGUGGUGGGGGAUAACCAGUCGAAAGACUGGCUAAUACCGCAUGAGAUCGAAAGAUGAAAGCAGGGGACCGGAGACGGCCUUGCGCGAUUGGAGCGGGCGGUGUCCGAUUAGCUAGUUGGUGGGGUAGAGGCCUACCAAGGCGACGAUCGGUAGCUGGUCUGAGAGGAUGAUCAGCCACACUGGGACUGAGACACGGCCCAGACUCCUACGGGAGGCAGCAGUGGGGAAUUUUGGACAAUGGGGGCAACCCUGAUCCAGCCAUGCCGCGUGAGUGAAGAAGGCCUUCGGGUUGUAAAGCUCUUUCGGUGGGAACGAAACGGGUGGUGUGAAUAGCAUCACUUACUGACGGUACCUACAGAAGAAGCACCGGCUAACUACGUGCCAGCAGCCGCCGUAAGAC